rnacentral:rRNA from 1 species
UUCUGACCGUAAACGAUGCCAACUAGCGAUCGGACGGUGGAUUUUUAGCCCUGUUCGGUAGCUUCCCGGAAACGAAAGUCUUCCGGUUCCGGGGGAAGUAUGGUUGCAAAGCUGAAACUUAAAGGAAUUGACGGAAGGGCACCACCAGGAGUGGAGCCUGCGGCUUAAUUUGACUCAACACGGGGAAACUCACCCGGCCCGGACACCGUAAGGAUUGACAGAUUGAUAGCUCUUUCAUGAUUCGGUGGUUGGUGGUGCAUGGCCGUUCUUAGUUCGUGGAUCGAUUUGUCUGGUUUAUUCCGAUAACGAGCGAGACUCUAGCCUACUAAAUAGUUGCGGGAUUAUCAUUGUCCUAGUAGCUUCUUAGAGGGAUUUUCGGUGUUUAGCCGCACGAGAUUGAGCAAUAACAGGUCUGUGAUGCCCUUAGAUGUCCGGGGCUGCACGCGCGCUACACUGGCGAAAUCAGCGUGCUGUAUCCAUUCUCGAAAGGGAUUGGUAAACCCAUGAAAAUUUGCCGUGCUUGGGAUCGGAAAUUGCAAUUAUUUUCCGUGAACGAGGAAUUCCAAGUAAGUGCGAGUCAUCAACUCGCUCUG